UUGAACGCUGGCGGCAGGCCUAACACAUGCAAGUCGAGCGGUAGCACAGAGAGCUUGCUCUCGGGUGACGAGCGGCGGACGGGUGAGUAAUGUCUGGGAAACUGCCUGAUGGAGGGGGAUAACUACUGGAAACGGUAGCUAAUACCGCAUAACGUCGCAAGACCAAAGUGGGGGACCUUCGGGCCUCAUGCCAUCAGAUGUGCCCAGAUGGGAUUAGCUAGUAGGUGGGGUAACGGCUCACCUAGGCGACGAUCCCUAGCUGGUCUGAGAGGAUGACCAGCCACACUGGAACUGAGACACGGUCCAGACUCCUACGGGAGGCAGCAGUGGGGAAUAUUGCACAAUGGGCGCAAGCCUGAUGCAGCCAUGCCGCGUGUGUGAAGAAGGCCUUCGGGUUGUAAAGCACUUUCAGCGGGGAGGAAGGCGAUAAGGUUAAUAACCUUGUCGAUUGACGUUACCCGCAGAAGAAGCACCGGCUAACUCCGUGCCAGCAGCCGCGGUAAUACGGAGGGUGCAAGCGUUAAUCGGAAUUACUGGGCGUAAAGCGCACGCAGGCGGUCUGUCAAGUCGGAUGUGAAAUCCCCGGGCUCAACCUGGGAACUGCAUUCGAAACUGGCAGGCUAGAGUCUUGUAGAGGGGGGUAGAAUUCCAGGUGUAGCGGUGAAAUGCGUAGAGAUCUGGAGGAAUACCGGUGGCGAAGGCGGCCCCCUGGACAAAGACUGACGCUCAGGUGCGAAAGCGUGGGGAGCAAACAGGAUUAGAUACCCUGGUAGUCCGCACGGUAAACGAUGGAUGCCCGCUGUUGGUCUGAAUAGGUCAGCGGCCAAGCGAAAGCAUUAAGCAUCCCACCUGGGGAGUACGCCGGCAACGGUGAAACUCAAAGGAAUUGACGGGGGCCCGCACAAGCGGUGGAGCAUGUGGUUUAAUUCGAUGCAACGCGAAGAACCUUACCUGGUCUUGACAUCCACAGAACUUUCCAGAGAUGGAUUGGUGCCUUCGGGAACUGUGAGACAGGUGCUGCAUGGCUGUCGUCAGCUCGUGUUGUGAAAUGUUGGGUUAAGUCCCGCAACGAGCGCAACCCUUAUCCUUUGUUGCCAGCGGUUAGGCCGGGAACUCAAAGGAGACUGCCAGUGAUAAACUGGAGGAAGGUGGGGAUGACGUCAAGUCAUCAUGGCCCUUACGACCAGGGCUACACACGUGCUACAAUGGCAUAUACAAAGAGAAGCGACCUCGCGAGAGCAAGCGGACCUCAUAAAGUAUGUCGUAGUCCGGAUUGGAGUCUGCAACUCGACUCCAUGAAGUCGGAAUCGCUAGUAAUCGUAGAUCAGAAUGCUACGGUGAAUACGUUCCCGGGCCUUGUACACACCGCCCGUCACACCAUGGGAGUGGGUUGCAAAAGAAGUAGGUAGCUUAACCUUCGGGAGGGCGCUUACCACUUUGUGAUUCAUGACUGGGGUG
rnacentral:rRNA from 1 species